rnacentral:rRNA from 1 species
GAUGAACGCUGGCGGCGUGCCUAAUACAUGCCAGUCGAGCGAACAGACGAGGAGCUUGCUCCUCUGACGUUAGCGGCGGACGGGUGAGUAACACGUGGAUAACCUACCUAUAAGACUGGGAUAACUUCGGGAAACCGGAGCUAAUACCGGAUAAUAUAUUGAACCGCAUGGUUCAAUAGUGAAAGACGGUUUUGCUGUCACUUAUAGAUGGAUCCGCGCCGCAUUAGCUAGUUGGUAAGGUAACGGCUUACCAAGGCAACGAUGCGUAGCCGACCUGAGAGGGGGAUCGGCCACACUGGAACUGAGACACGGUCCAGACUCCUACGGGAGGCAGCAGUAGGGAAUCUUCCGCAAUGGGCGAAAGCCUGACGGAGCAACGCCGCGUGAGUGAAGAAGGUCUUCGGAUCGUAAAACUCUGUUAUUAGGGAAGAACAAAUGUGUAAGUAACUAUGCACGUCUGGACGGUACCUAAGCAGAAAGCCACGGCUAACUACGG